rnacentral:tRNA from 1 species
UCCCUGAUGGUCCAGUGGCUAGGACCCUGAGCUCCCAAUGCAGGGGGCCUGGGUUCAAUCCCUGGUCAGGGAA